rnacentral:rRNA from 1 species
GACGAACGCUGGCGGCGUGCUUAACACAUGCAAGUCGAACGAGUGGCUAACGGGUGAGUAACACGUGGGUGAUCUGCUUUGCCCUUCGGGGUAAGCUUUGGUAACUGGGUCUAAUACCGGAAAGUGCAAGAUGAGGUCGCGGCCUAUCAGCUUGUUGGUGGGGUCAUUGCUACCAAGGCGCGACGGGUAGCCGGCCUGAGAGGGUGGACGGCCUAAUUGGGACUAGGCUACGGCCCAGAGUGAUAGGGGGGGCAGCGGUGGGGAAUAUUGGACAAUGGGUGGAAGACUGAGGCAGCGACUCUGCGUGGGGGAUGAAAGCCUUCGGGUUGUAAACUCCUUUAGUCAGGGACGCGGUACCUGUAUAAGAAACACCGGCUAACUACGUGCCAGCAGCCGCGGUAGUAC